rnacentral:rRNA from 1 species
UACGUAGGGACCAAGCGUUGUUCGGAUUUACUGGGCGUAAAGGGCGCGUAGGCGGCCAUUCAAGUCAUAUGUGAAAUCUCCGGGCUUAACUCGGAACGGUCAGAUGAUACUGCUUUGCUAGAGUGCGGAAGGGGCAAUCGGAAUUCUUGGUGUAGCGGUGAAAUGCGUAGAUAUCAAGAGGAACACCUGAGGUGAAGACGGGUUGCUGGGUCGACACUGACGCUGAUAGCGCGAAAGCCAGGGGAGCAAACGGG